CAAGGAAUAGCUUAGUCAGAAAAGCAUCUCCCUUACACUGAGAAGACCUUCGUGCAAAUCGAAUUUCCUUGA
rnacentral:tRNA from 1 species